ACGGCUCAGUAACACGUGGACAACCUGCCCUUAGGACGGGGAUAAACCCGGGAAACUGGGUAUAAUACCCGAUAGGUCUCGAUUGCUGGAAUGCAUCGAGAUUUAAAGCUCCGGCGCCUAAGGAUGGGUCUGCGGCCUAUCAGGUAGUAGUGGGUGUAGCGUACCUACUAGCUUACGACGGGUACGGGUUGUGAGAGCAAGAGCCCGGAGAUGGAUUCUGAGACACGAAUCCAGGCCCUACGGGGUGCAGCAGGCGCGAAAACUUUACAAUGCUGGCAACAGCGAUAAGGGAACCUCGAGUGCCAGGUUACAAAUCUGGCUGUCGAGAUGCCUAAAAAGCAUUUCAUAGCAAGGGCCGGGCAAGACCGGUGCCAGCCGCCGCGGUAACACCGGCGGCUCGAGUGGUAACCGUUAUUAUUGGGUCUAAAGGGUCUGCAGCCGGCCGGAUAAGUCUCUUGAGAAAUCUGGCAGCUUAACUGUCAGGCUUUCAGGAGAUACUGUCUGGCUCGAGGCCGGGAGAGGUGAGAGGUACUUCAGGGGUAGGGGUGAAAUCUUGUAAUCCUUGAAGGACCACCAGUGGCGAAGGCGUCUCACCAGAACGGACCUGACGGCAAGGGACGAAAGCUAGGGGCACGAACCGGAUUAGAUACCCGGGUAGUCCUAGCCGUAAACGAUACUCGCUAGGUGUCGGCCACGGUGCGACCGUUGUCGGUGCCGUAGGGAAGCCGUGAAGCGAGCCACCUGGGAAGUACGGCCGCAAGGCUGAAACUUAAAGGAAUUGGCGGGGGAGCAC
rnacentral:rRNA from 1 species